ACUCGAAGGAGAAAACAUAGGAAACACUGGGAACUGAUGAGGUGGAACAGCCAAAUCUUUACAGGUUUUGAUUUAAUUUGUUGCAGAUAUUGAGAACGACUUCUGACUGGACAUUUCCUCUCACAGUCAGCUGGCUGUCACCGGUAGCCUUUAGACUGAGUUCAACUGCAAAUUUUAACAGAAACAUGAGAUGACACCAAGCAGCUGAGCAAACUGGUCCUGUGUAGUGGUGGACAUUGGGUUAAUGAGUCGGACUCAGAGAGACAGCCAGAGUACGAGCCUCGUGUUCUUGGAGCUGGAAUCUUUCAGGAGAAGUCUCUGGGGUCUUUCCUCUGCAACCUCUGACUCUAAAGCUCUUUUCAUGGUGGUGAAGUUGAGAGCGGCAGGGUGGAGGUUUGGUUCAUCCUCCCGUGGAAUUGGAUUAUUUCUGGAUGAGGAGAACACCCCCCGCCUUCCUCCCCCCUCCUCCUCUUCCCUGCAGAGACAGACACAUGCAGUUCAUCAUGCAGAAACACCCCCGCUCUGCUGGUGUCAGUGGGCAAGAGGGAAGAUACCAGCACUGCUCGGCUCUCUAUCAACAACAACCGGUUUUAAAAGAUCCACAUAGUGAAAAAUACAUUUUCUGUGUUGUUACCCAAUUACUCCCCACUUCUAAACCGGCUUCUUUUCCAGUAUGAUAAAAGCAACAAUCAAUAAAA